rnacentral:lncRNA from 1 species
CUGAUGACAGUAGAGCCAUUCAGAUGGCUGGGUUCACUCUUAAGUGCAAGAAGGCACGAGAGUGGUUCAAGAAUUAUGUGAACUCCAGAGUAGACAGCAUGUCUUGGGAGGAGUUUGCAAACGAGUUUGCAGGAUGGGCUUUCCCAGAUAGUUCAAGGGAGCUGAAGAUGAUAGAGUUUGAGCAGUUGAGGCAGACUGAUGAGAUGAGUGUAGA